GGACAAUUAGCAUCAGCUGCAUCAGUGGGUGGAGUUUAAGGGCAGUAUAUUAGUUUGCAUUACUCCUGUUAGGUUGCUUCGCAGAGGUCAUUUUUCUGGUAUUAGGUUUGGUAGCAAAAAAAUAAAUAAACUUGAAAGAUGUUUCGAUUUGCUAUAUUUUUGGAUUUGCUUUACUGAUUGGUAGAUCAAUACCAACAGCUGCAGAAACAUCUACAGCUCCAUCGACAAGAAUAACAACCCCUGAACCAACAUGUAAAAUAGCUACAGCGACAUCUAUAGCACGAUUAACAAGAAAUCCUGCACCAACAUGUAUUUUAGCUACAUCAACAACUGCAGCUCGAUCAACAACAACCCCUGCCCCAACAUCUACAUCUCACUCAGCACUCACUGAACCAACAUCUACAAGUCAAUCAAGAACAACUGCGCCAAGUUUGAGUUCAACUGUGCUUAUGUCUACCACUACUCAAUCAUCAACAACAUUUGCACCAACCUUGACAACUACUCGAACACCAACACAUACUUCUCAAAUAACAACUCAAGUUACAUCUACAACUCAACCAGCAAGCCAGUCUACAUCUCCAGAUGUUGUCCCACAGAAUAGGACAACAUUUGCAUAUACAACUUUCCAAUUGAGAUCCUCUGUUGAGCUUAGCCAUGAUAAAAUCAUUACUUACAUUGAAAAGUUUGUCAAGCACUUGCAAGCAAACUUUAGUGGGACCAUAAAGAUUACUGUGAAGAAAUCAAGAAAAUUGUUGGCCUAAGGAUGUGAUGGAAAACUUAUGUCACAUGCCAUCCUCUACAUGCAAUCUCUAAAAGAUUUCUCCUGCGCCAAGGCGAGUGCUCCCUUGACGAUCAAAUCCACGAGUUUUUGGACUUUGGCGCGUACCAUAUGCACAGUUUCUGGACAAUUCACUCAUUACUUUCUGUGGAGCUCUUUCUCCAACUCAGUGGAUCCUCCUUCACGCUCAAGCCCCAUGGCCUCAGUGUUCUCAAGCUUGGUGGUCCUUCCACCAUCAGCUGCACUUCCCAUGAUGGUAAUUGCCAUUGUGUGUGUCUGAGCAGUACACACUUCCCGAAGGCAGUGGCGACUGCUACAGUACUGUACAGUAAUUACAAGCACUUAUUUUUUUGAAAUUUGAUUACGCAGUCGAGAUUACGUGUAAUCAAUUACUACUCAGCACUGUUAACAAAUCAGAGGACAUUUCGUAUUUUGGAAGUUGAAAUGUUCAGCGAAACAUUAACUAAACAGCGUUCGAGACAGACUGCAUUAAUGUAAAAUAUGUGAAAAAAUUAUGUGUCUAAUAAAUCUGGGCUCUAUGGUUGCAUUUGCAUUGCAAUAUAUAAUAUACAACAAAUGAAAUGAGUGAGCAUCUCUGGUAUUUCAAGAAGCAAACUGUAAGAAACAAGACACACAUACAGGAAUAUUCAGAACGGAUGCAUUUCAUCUUUUGUUUGGAAUAAA